rnacentral:lncRNA from 1 species
CGCUUUGAAAGAACGCAGCGCACAGAAUCAAGGAUUCCGUUUUUGGUUCUGCUUUCUGGCCCGCUCGCCAUCCUUCUGUCUGAAUUUCUGUUUGUCCCUCUGCCAGACUUCUUCCUCUUCCACUUCCUUCAGACAAGAGAUUUUUGAGACCUUUUCCGGAAUAACUACCCUAUUUUUAUUCCUGUAAAAUUAGUCCUUUCCUGGGAGGAAGGAGUCUCCUCCGGGAGUCUGGGGUCCUUCCGCUGCCCCGGAGAGAUGCUGCGGCCUCGGCCGGCUCAGGAUGCAGACCCAAGCAGGGCCGGGUACCAGCUGCCACAUCGCACUCGUCAUCAUGUCCCCUUAGGCUGCUCUUGGCUGUGACAGUUUCUUGGACUUUUCGUGUUUUUGGUGAUCUUGACAGCUUUGUGGAGCUGUGUACCUGGUAAACAUCCCUCGCUCGGGGUUUGUCUGAUGUUUUUCUUGUGAUUAGACUGGGGUUAUGGAUUCGGGGAGAAAGACCCCACAGAGAAAGUGUCAUUCUCAUCACAUCCCAUCGAGGGUGCACGCCAUCCACAGGACUCAUCAUUGUGGAUGUUGACCUUGAUCCUCCAUCUGAGGAAGUGUUUGUCCCGUGUUAUCCAGGUAAAGUUACUUGCCCCCAGCCCCAUAGUGUCCUCUUUGGAAGGAAGUCACUGUGUGCAGCCCACACUGAAAGAGUGGGGAGUCGUGUUACCAAAUCAGGUUCAUUUUCCCCCUUGCAGGAAAAGCGAAUCACCAAAACGACGAGUUUGCAGCAGAGAAAGGGUUUAUUCACGAGGCAGCCCAGCGAGGAGACGGGAGAGCAAAUCUCAAAUCUGCCUCCUCGAAAAAUGGGGAUUUGGGACAUUUAUGGGCUAAAGGGGUAGGGUGGUCUGAAGUGUGGAGCUGGAUGAUUGGAGGGGAGGAGG